rnacentral:snRNA from 1 species
GUGCUUGCUUUAGCAGCGUAUGUACUAAAAUUGGAAUGAUACAGAGAAGACUAAUAUGGCUCCUGUGCAAGGAUGACCCACAAAUUCAUGAAGUGUCCCAUAUUUAU